rnacentral:tRNA from 1 species
GCCCCGGUAGCUCAGCUCGGUAGAGCACCGGCCUUGUAAGCCGGGGGUCGCGGGUUCGAAUCCCGCCCGGGGCU